UACGUAGGGUCCAAGCGUUAUCCGGAAUCACUGGGCGUAAAGCGUGCGUAGGUGGAUUGUUAAGUGCGGUGCGAAAUCCUGUGGCUCAACCAUAUGGACUGUAUCGCAUACUGGCAAUCUAGAGGACAUGAGAGGCAAGUGGAAUUACUGGUGUAGCAGUGAAAUGCGUAGAGAUCAGUAGGAACACCAAUGGCGAAGGCAGCUUGCUGGCAUGUAUCUGACGCUAGGGCACGAAAGCGUGGGGAGCGAACAGG
rnacentral:rRNA from 1 species